rnacentral:rRNA from 1 species
AUUGAACGCUGGCGGCAGGCCUAACACAUGCAAGUCGAACGAGUGGCGGACGGGUGAGUAAUGCCUGGGAAACUGGCUUAUGGAGGGGGAUAACUACGGGAAACUGUAGCUAAUACCGCAUACCAUAGGAUGAGCCCAAGUGGGAUUAGGUAGUUGGUGGGGUAAAGGCUCACCAAGCCGACGAUCCCUAGCUGGUCUGAGAGGAUGACCAGCCACACUGGAACUGAGACACGGCCCAGACUCCUACGGGAGGCAGCAGUGGGGAAUAUUGCGCAAUGGGGGCAACCUGACGCAGCCAUGCCGCGUGAAUGAAGAAGGCCUUCGGGUUGUAAAGUUCUUUCGGCAGCGAGGCGUUAACCGCAGAAGAAGCACCGGCUAACUCCGUGCCAGCAGCCGCGGUAAUUC